rnacentral:snoRNA from 14 species
AGUUCUGUGGCUCUAUUGAAACACAAGUCAUGCUUCCAUCACAGCAGGUUUAUUGCAGUGGUGACAAUGAGACUUGUAACAUUU